CUAGCCCGACGAUGUUAAAUCCUUGGAAGAGUUGGAAGCCGUGGAAUUAUCUAGAAACGGAGAGAGAGAGAUGAGGCCGAUGCAGAUGGAGUUCUUUGCUGACAUGGACGAGCAAGGAUCGUCGGUAGCGAUGGACGUGGAUGACGUGGACCCGCUGGAGAUCUUUGGAGAAGGCGUAAUCAGUGUCGAUAACAAGCUCGCUGAUGCUGAUUUCUUCAAUAAUUUCGAGGAUGAUUUUGAUGACUCUGACAUCAAUUGAUGCCCUUCUGUUCUAUUGUAGGGUGUUGACAGAGUAGGCUUUGGAGAUGACAACUUGUGAGAAAUUUUGCUGCAUGGUUGGCCGUGACUGCGGGCUGGUAUCAAGGCAAGCAAAUGCUACAUUUGCAAUAUUGACCACUGCCUCUGCUACUUGAUUUUUGGAGGAUGAAGGCGUUGGUCCAAUACAUCCUUUAGUAGAAUCUCAUUUUGAUGGGCAGCUGAUGAUGAGGAGGAGGAGGAGGAGGAUAUGGACGUGAUGAGGUCAACUUCCCAUCAUUACUUCCCAUGUCACUACUGCAAAGCUGUACACUAUUUGUUGAGUCAGCCACACACCAAAAAUGACUCAAUCAUCAUCGUUGAUUCUGGCGACCUAGCUGAACCCGUCUCAUAGAUGACUUGCUUGAUGCAGGCGACCCAGCAGUUGGACGGGUCCAACCGACCCAGCAGAACUUUUACCCAUCUCGAUGCAGGCGACCCAGCUGCAGAACCCGUCUAAAUGCAAAAAUCGUCAUCAUUGUCGAUACAUGCAGCAAGCGUCCCUUGCCCUCUAAGUCUCUAACCUCGCUGUGACGCUGUCUUACUUCUUCUUCUUCUCUAACCAAGCGCGAGCGACUCUUCUUCUUCUUCAAACCUGCUGCUCGGGUUUUAUUCUUCACAUAUUAAUAGCAACAUCUAACGGCGAGCGAGAUUGGUCGGCGAUAAACAUAUGUAGCAAGUGAUGUGUUAUUCUUCAUAAAUCCGGCAUCCACAUCAGCAAAUUAGUGCCGGAUUCCUCAUUGGUACUGGCGGAAGAUACAGAAAUAAUAGGAGUGGUACAAAAAAAAAACAAAUUAAAGGUUUGGUACCAUUUGGAAAAAAGUGCGAAGGAUUGAUACCAGCGGCGCAUUUAACCUGCAUAUUGUCAUUCAACUUCAGAACCAAUAAUGGCAUAUCUCCCGGUUCCUUUGGGAUCUCUCCUACUAAUUUAUUGGAGGAGAAGUCAAGCACCUGCAGUUGAGUUGCUCUGGAAAUUCCAGGUGGUAUGAUACCUGAAAUUCUAUUAUUAGAAAUGUUCAAGCUUGUCAGACUUUAGCACUGCCCCUAAUUUUAUGAUAGCUCACCGUACAAGUUGUUGCAAGUGAAAUCAAUGUAUUUUAAGUACGGAUAUAUACCAAAGUCUUCUGAUAUGUUUCCUCUAAGUUGAUUCUUUUCAAGCCGAACUCUAACUAAGCUGGUGCAGUUCAAGGUCUUAGGAAUGGGGCCUGUGAUAUUGUUUUCAUUCGCAGUCAAUAUGCUAAGCAUUCCUCCAUGCACUUGUUUGGUGGUAGGUGACCAAACAAAUUGUUACUGAUCAACCCAAUGAAGUUCAGAGAUGUAAGAUUAUUCAGCUCUUUAGGUAUCUGGCCAGUGAGUUUAUUUAUGUUAAAACUUAGAUGACCAAGGGAUCUGAGUUUUCCUAUUGCAUAAGGAACAGGCCCUGAGAGCUCAUUCUCAAAUAAAUUGAUGAUAAUCAAAUUGUUCAAAUUUCCAACGGAAGCAGUUUUCUACCUGUUAGGAAGUUUCGUUGCAAAGAAAGAUCAUUGAGUGAAUUGAGAAUUCCUAUUUGUUGAGGGAUGGAUCAGGAAAUUCUAAUUUCGUUGAGCCAUAAAUAUGAAAGCUUGCUCAUAUUUCCUAUAGGCAAUGGAAUGGAACCUGAGAGAAAAUUCUCAGCAGCUGUGAACCAUUUGAGAGACCUAAAAUUUCCUAUUUCCUGAGGUAGGGAUCCUUCUAUUUCGUUCUUGUCUAGGUACAAGAUUUCAAGACUUGAAAGAAGGCCCAUCCCAGAUCGAAUGUUUCCAGAGACAUAAUUAUUACUCAAGUCGAGAUACAACAGUUCUGACAGGUUUCCUAUUUCUUGAGGGAUGGAACCAUUUAUCUCAUUCUCCCUCAUAUAAAUAUAGUCAAGGCUGGAGAGAAGGCCUAUAUGAGUUGGAAUCUCUCCAGACAGAUUAUUGAAACUUAAGGCUGGUGAGUUUUGUAACAAUGGUGAGGUGGGAUGGAAGGGUUCCAUAGAGCGAGUUAUUAUGAAGAUCUAGCUCAAGUAGGUUAGGGAAGGAAGAAAAAUCCAGAUCAUGGAGCGUACCUCUCAAAUUGCCACCACUAACAGUGAUAUGAAUGACACUUCCGGACUCAUUACAAGAUAUUCCAUCCCAGUUGCAGGGGCUACUAGAAGAAGAAUUAUAAGGCCAGGUGGAAUUAUCAAGCUUCCAUGAUAUGAGAAGAGAAUGAAUUGGAUACUGAAGGCUGUUUUUCCAUUUGAGAAAUGCCUCUGCUUCUUGUCCUUCUCCAGUCCAAGAAGAAGAAGAGGAAGAAGAAGAAGCAGAAGAAUGGGAAACAGAAAGCAACAAAGUGAUGGAGAGGAGAAGUUGGAAUGAAACAGACUGAUUCUUGAAGAGUGGUCUUCCUAGAAAAGUUGCCAUCAUUUGGAGCUGCUUAAAGGAGUUAUGGUGGUGGUGUCAAUGGAUGAUUUAAUGUAGUAUCAUGAGGAUUUUUACAAGUGGUGAGAGCAAAGACCAUCUAAUCAAUCAGAGUAACAUAAUAAGAGGUGAAGCUUUCUUGAUGAAUAGUAACUUAGUGAGAAAACAUUAACCAGAGUUUCAUAAUACAAAUAAAACUUAAUUAUCAUUCUGCAGAAUACUUGGGACAUUCUUGAUUUUCCCACGUGCUACAUACUUACAAUGAGUAGGUAGAGAAAAAUAAGAUCACUGCUGAACACCUGGUUCUUACUGUGUAAAUGUCUCUUUCAAAAAUAAAGGACGGAUUAUGCGAGUGAGCUAUUGACACAUCGCAUUCAUCACAA